rnacentral:snoRNA from 1 species
AUUCCAUGAUGAGGGCACUUUUGUGAUAAUUCUUUGUACCUUUCUCAUGCCUCAUACAAGGACUCAUCAUCCAUUUGUUGGAAGGUAGUGAUCUCAUCCUCAACUU